GACGAACGCUGGCGGCGUGCUUAACACAUGCAAGUCGAACGGAAAGGCCCUGCUUUUGUGGGGUGCUCGAGUGGCGAACGGGUGAGUAACACGUGAGUAACCUGCCCUUGACUUUGGGAUAACUUCAGGAAACUGGGGCUAAUACCGGAUAGGAGCUCCUGCUGCAUGGUGGGGGUUGGAAAGUUUCGGCGGUUGGGGAUGGACUCGCGGCUUAUCAGCUUGUUGGUGGGGUAGUGGCUUACCAAGGCUUUGACGGGUAGCCGGCCUGAGAGGGUGACCGGCCACAUUGGGACUGAGGUACGGCCCAGACUCCUACGGGAGGCAGCAGUGGGGAAUAUUGCACCAUGGGCGGAAGCCUGAUGAAGCAACGCCGCGUGCGGGAUGGCGGCCUUCGGGUUGUAAACCGCUUGCGCCUGUGACGAAGCGUGAGUGACGGUAAUGGGUAGAGAAGCACCGGCUAAAUACGUG
rnacentral:rRNA from 1 species